CACACAAAGUCUGCUUAUUCCUUUUCCCCAUUGUGCAGUUACCCUGGUAAAAGGCCUUGGUCCCUGGGGAAGGCUGGGAGGAGUGAUGAAUGGCAACAUCCUUUGUCAAGGAAUAGUGGGGACAGGGCCUCCCUCACUCAGGGGAUUCUGGGCCUGUGAACUCGCUCGGGUUAGACUUUUGCUCACUUGACAGAACUUCUCUGUUUCCACAGCUCUAAGAAUGCUAGGCUUCCCUGUCUGACUCCUGGGAACACCAUGAUCAGCUAGCCAAGUUGGUCCAGUGACAUAAGAAGCGACCAGCAAAUCUCAGAUCUGCUGAUUUGGGAAAACUGCUUGGAAUUGUGUGCAAUCACCCAGACCCUUGCUUCUUGCGUGUGUCUGAUCAGGGGGUGCAGUGGUAAGAUCCUGCAGUCUCUACCACUAAGUCACUCUGUGGACUGUCUGCUCUCUUUACAUCCUCGGCACCUUUAAUCAGGUUAGAGAGCCCAUUCCAGAAUCAAUUCUGAGUGCUCUUCCUUGAAAUUCUGCUGCUCCUCACAAUCCAGAUCACUAGUAUUCAGGGGUCUCCAGAGGAUCAGAACCAAUGGGACAUACCUAGAGACAGGGACAUAGUGUAAGGACUUGGCUAUUCGAUUGCCUGAGCUGACAAGCCCAAGAUCCACAGCAGGCAAGUGGGAGACUCAGGAGGGGCAGUGAUGCAGCUCCAGCCCCAGGAGGAGCUGACGUCUCGUCUCAGGUCAGAAGGCAGGAAAACGGUCCACUCCAGAGAAGGAGGCCAGCCUUUGUGUCCCUCUGGCCCCCAGAGGAUUGGAUGGGGCCACCCCUACUGGCAGGGCACUGCACUUUGCUCAGUCCAGAAAUUGAGUGUUCAUUUUGUCCAGAAGCACCUUUGUGGACAGCCAAAAUGAUGCUUGACCAACUAUCUGAGCAACAGUUAGGUUGCCCCCUAAAAGGAACCAUCACGGUACCUUGAUGCAGUGGAGUGCUGACGCAGGUGACCUUAGGGAGGGGCGGGGGGCGAGAGGAAGGGGUGCACCCGCGUCAGCAGAGACGCAGACCUUGCCUGGCACUCUGCGCAUCCAGGCCCCGUGUUAGCUUGCCUGCAGCCCGCUGGACCAGCCAUCUGGGAAGAGCAGGACUGUCAGUCAUAGUUAGUAGUUGUGGAUUAAAUUGUCUCCCCCCAAGUUCAUGUGAUGAAGCCCUAGCCUUAAUACGUCAGAACGCGACUAUCUUCAGAGACGGGCUCUAGAAAGGUGAUUGAAAUGAGGUCGUUAGGGCAGCCCUGACUCAGUCUGACUAGUGUCAGAAGCGACCGGCACACACCAGGUGCAUAGAGAGAUGACCAUGUGACAGACAGCAUGCAGGAAGCCACCUUCAAACCAAGGAGAGAGGCCAACAAGGAAAGCAACCCUACCAACGCCUGGAUCUUGGACUUCCAGACUCCAAAACUAUGAGAAAAUAGGUUUCUUUUGUUGAAGCCAUUAGCUUGUUUUGUUAUGGCAACCCAAGCAAAGUGACGCUGAGUACACACUGCUCAGUAUUUGCUGAAGAUUGGGUCAAUAAAAUGCUUUUUCCCUGGCCCUCUUUUCCCAUAGCUCACAGCUGCUGAAGGGAGGCAAACUUGUAAGUAAAGAAGCUGGUGGGUCCCAGAGUGUAGGAGCAGGAGCUGCCCAGGAAAGGGCAGCUCAUAGGUAGGUGUGGGCUGGGAGGGCGUUCCAGGCAAGGAGCCAGUGCGGGCAUCAGCCUCCAGCCAAGAACCACACCUCUGAGAACCACUGAGUGGUUUGCUACGUCCAACAGGCCACGUGUGGGGGGUGUGGGAGGAGGGCUUGAGGUUUGGGCAGCACCUGUGCCCACCCACAGCAGGGGCUGUGCUGGGGCUAGUGCACAUAGGGGACACCCGUCCAGGAGAGAUUUCUGAGGCCGAAGGGACGCCACAGUAGGCAGCCGCUGAGGCUGUGUUCCUAAUUAGCUGGGUUGGCAGGUGAUUUAGCACCUCUGAGCAUCACUGUCUUAAGUCAAAGGAGUCACGUGAGGAUUAAGCCUGAUUGUUGUUUAUGUAAGCCGCUUCACUCUUAGAAGAUGCUCAGCAACUUGCAGUCUGCUGGGGCUCCUGCAGAGUGGGGUACAGGAGUAAGACCCAAAGAAUACUGCCUUGGCAACGGAAGGGAGAACUGGGCUGGGAUUGGCUCCCACCCACCCUGCUCCAUCUGCAGGUAGGGUCCAUGUCUUCCUCUCAGCUUUUAUCCAUAUCAAAGGCCUGUUCAUCCCUUCAAGCCCCACCAUAAUGCCCUCUUCCUCCAAGAAGUCUUCCAAGGAGUGGGUGCACCUUGACCUGAAUGUCUGCAGAUCUCUGGAACAUGUGCCCACUGCUGUAGGUGGUCUCCUGUCAGGCGCCAGGCAGGAGAUGAGCCUGACACUUGCAAGAAACAGUCAUCAGGUCACUACAGCCACAAGAGUAGUCUCAGCAGCCCAGCAUGCCUCCCACACGGCUGUGCUAUGGUGACACCUCGGCCUGCUCAGCUGGCCUUUCAUCCCUUCAUUAGGGCAGCCCUGACCCAGCCUGACAAACACCAGGUGCCAGGGCAUGGGCCAGGUGCUGGGACUAGACCACCGUGCUCUCCAGCUGAAUCAUCAAAGAGAUGCGAGUGCAGCUGUGACAGGCGCCCAAGUGACACAGGUCCUGUGAGGUGUGAAGUGGUCCCCGUUACUGCCCACAUGUCUGCCCUCUGCGCCCACUGAACUCCACCAAGGAUGUCUGAAAGCUCACUUAUCCCAGACGUCCAACCCCACCCUCCUCACCCGCUCCCCGGGACCUUGAGACAGAAACCCCCUCCAGCCUUCCUGAAGGUGCCCCUUCUCCCCCAUCCUUCUGGCACAAUGAAAGGACCCACCUGUCAAGGCCAGGCCCUCCCCUUCACCCGCACAAGCACCUGAUUCACAGGCAGUCCUCCCCUCUCCUUCUGUCUAAAAAGACCUGUCCCACAUGCCCUUUCACUCAUCAUUUAUCCCACUUGUCUUCAAGAAUUUGCAUUUCCCUAAAAGAACUCUGAAAAAAAUUUCUGUCAACAUUUCAAGUUGAUAAAUAAAUUUUUCCAUCUCAA